GUCUACAGCCAUGCCACUCUGAACAAGCCCGAUCCUGUCUGAACUUGGAAGCUGAGCAGGGUCGGGCCUGGUUAGUACUUGGAUGAGAGACCACCUAGGAAGACCAGGUGCUGUAGGUU
rnacentral:rRNA from 1 species